rnacentral:rRNA from 1 species
GACGAACGCUGGCGGCGUGCUUAACACAUGCAAGUCGAACGGAAAGGCCCUGCUUUUGUGGGGUGCUCGAGUGGCGAACGGGUGAGUAACACGUGAGUAACCUGCCCUUGACUUUGGGAUAACUUCAGGAAACUGGGGCUAAUACCGGAUAGGAGCUCCUGCUGCAUGGUGGGGGUUGGAAAGUUUCGGCGGUUGGGGAUGGACUCGCGGCUUAUCAGCUUGUUGGUGGGGUAGUGGCUUACCAAGGCUUUGACGGGUAGCCGGCCUGAGAGGGUGACCGGCCACAUUGGGACUGAGAUACGGCCCAGACUCCUACGGGAGGCAGCAGUGGGGAAUAUUGCACAAUGGGCGGAAGCCUGAUGCAGCAACGCCGCGUGCGGGACGACGGCCUUCGGGUUGUAAACCGCUUUCGCCUGUGACGAAGCGUGAGUGACGGUAAUGGGUAAAGAAGCACCGGCUAACUACGUGCCAGCAGCCGCGGUGAUACGUAGGGUGCGAGCGUUGUCCGGAUUUAUUGGGCGUAAAGGGCUCGUAGGUGGUUGAUCGCGUCGGAAGUGUAAUCUUGGGGCUUAACCCUGAGCGUGCUUUCGAUACGGGUUGACUUGAGGAAGGUAGGGGAGAAUGGAAUUCCUGGUGGAGCGGUGGAAUGCGCAGAUAUCAGGAGGAACACCAGUGGCGAAGGCGGUUCUCUGGGCCUUUCCUGACGCUGAGGAGCGAAAGCGUGGGGAGCGAACAGGCUUAGAUACCCUGGUAGUCCACGCUGUAAACGGUGGGUACUAGGUGUGGGGUCCAUUCCACGGGUUCCGUGCCGUAGCUAACGCUUUAAGUACCCCGCCUGGGGAGUACGGCCGCAAGGCUAAAACUCAAAGGAAUUGACGGGGCCCCGCACAAGCGGCGGAGCAUGCGGAUUAAUUCGAUGCAACGCGUAGAACCUUACCUGGGUUUGACAUGGAUCGGGAGUGCUCAGAGAUGGGUGUGCCUCUUUUGGGGUCGGUUCACAGGUGGUGCAUGGCUGUCGUCAGCUCGUGUCGUGAGAUGUUGGGUUAAGUCCCGCAACGAGCGCAACCCUUGUUCACUGUUGCCAGCACGUUAUGGUGGGGACUCAGUGGAGACCGCCGGGGUCAACUCGGAGGAAGGUGGGGAUGACGUCAAGUCAUCAUGCCCCUUAUGUCCAGGGCUUCACGCAUGCUACAAUGGCUGGUACAGAGAGUGGCGAGCCUGUGAGGGUGAGCGAAUCUCGGAAAGUCGGUCUCAGUUCGGAUUGGGGUCUGCAACUCGACCUCAUGAAGUCGGAGUCGCUAGUAAUCGCAGAUCAGCAACGCUGCGGUGAAUACGUUCCCGGGGCU